GCGGUUGUGGCGGAAUGGCAGACGCGCUACCUUGAGGGGGUAGUAUCUUAUGGAUGUGUGGGUUCAAAUCCCAUCAACCGCA
rnacentral:tRNA from 1 species